AACGCACGAGACCUGCGGACCUGCGGAGGGAUCAUUACAUGAUUUGAGGGGGCUCACGUCCCCUCAUCCAACCCACAAACCCCGAGGAACUUUUAUGUCGAGUGGUUCGGCGCUCUCUUUGAGAGCCGCCCCUCAAACGCAUCGCAGGCUUUUCGUGAAGGUCUGAUGUGUCACAUCGCGAGUAUUAAAACUUUCAACAACGGAUCUCU
rnacentral:misc_RNA from 1 species